rnacentral:rRNA from 1 species
CCUACGGGGGGCAGCAGUGGGGAAUAUUGCACAAUGGGCGAAAGCCUGAUGCAGCAACGCCGCGUGGAGGAUGAAUGCCUUCGGGUUGUAAACUCUUGUCUUUUGGGACGAUAAUGACGGUACCAGAGGAGGAAGCCACGGCUAACUACGUGCCAGCAGCCGCGGUAAUACGUAGGGGGCAAGCGUUAUCCGGAAUUACUGGGCGUAAAGGGUGCGUAGGCGGUUUAUCAAGUCAGGGGUGAAAGGCUACGGCUCAACCGUAGUGAGCCUCUGAAACUGGUGAACUUGAGUGUAGGAGAGGAAAGUGGAAUUCCCAGUGUAGCGGUGAAAUGCGUAGAUAUUGGGAGGAACACCAGUGGCGAAGGCGACUUUCUGGACUACAACUGACGCUGAGGCACGAAAGCGUGGGGAGCAAACAGGAUUAGAUACCCGUGUAGUCAC